AAAAUCUAAUACAGAGAAGUAACAAUUCCCAGAAUUGUUUUACCAGAAGUUUUCUAAUAAUCAUAAUCUCCAAAGUCCAAAUGCCACCUAAAAAAUUACAUUACUAAUAAACAAUACCUCAAAGAGGUAAAUUGUUCUUUCUAAAACAGAGUACGAAGAAGGAAAAAUAGCGCCUAGCUGAUACUUUCAACAGGAAAUGGAUAGGACCAGAUAGACAAAACUGAAAUAACCUUGAGGAGAAGUCUGACCGUACUCUAUGUACAAGGACAUUUAGCUAAUAAUCUGGUAGAUAUCAAAGGAAUAGUGGGAUAAUUUUCUUAUUAGGUCAAAAGGUAGACUAUAUGUUCUCGAGUAGACACAUGACAUUACCUAGCUUGAGGUAUUCCUCCGUGCAGCAUAAGAUCGAUAUGCUGCCAGUCCAACUACAGCAACAGCAGCCACAACUGAAGUAAACAUAAGCGAGCGAUUAACAAGGUGACGAUAUCGUUUCUGGCUACGUCCAACUUCAGUUUCAGGAACACUUAAAUGAGGGUGCUCUGCAGCAGUGACAAUUCUAUUGAACAUGCUAUUCAGAUCCCUCUCCUUCACACUAAUGUGAAUAGGUGCAUCUAUUCCAAAAUUCUGACAUAUCUUUGCUGAAUCUUUUAUUGCCAUUGGAUAUGAAUCAAGAUCAUCCUUUGCAGCAACAAAUAGACAAGGCACCAUGAAACCACUAACUUCCCCUCGCCUUGCCACAGUCAUCAGCAAUUCUGAUGCUCUUUUUAAAGAAUAUUCAUCGGAGCUAAAGGGGGAAAAGAAGAAAAAAGUACUCACACAAAAGCAAAGCAUUAUCAAGACAACGAUGAAGAAGAAGGAACCUGUCUAUAUCCAAGGUGAUGGACUAUGCCAAUGAAUUCAACUAUACUCUAAAAGCUGCUAGUCACUUAGAUCUUGCAUUACUCACCUGUCAUAUGCAAACACUGCUACAUCACAAGAUGCCAAAGAUUCCUUAGUAGAUAGAAUCAUCUUAACUUCAUCUUCUGGAAUCUCCCUGAGUACAAGUGUUUUCUUAGUUCCCCCAAGACGGUCAACAACAUUAACAGCAUAGUGCUCAUCAGUUGUCACCGCAUAAUUUUCUGAGAAAGGCCUUCCCAACAACGACUUCAGCAAGGCCGACUUGCCAGAUCCUUUAGGACCGAAAACAAAACACUGGUAAACAUUUCGAUCUGUCUGUUGUUUCUUGCGAUCAACUGAUUUUCUCCUGGUAAGACGGAGUGCUGAUGCAGCACCGCAGUUAUACCCAAUAUAUAUCAAGUUGGCCAAACUCUGAGCUGGUUCCAGCAACGUCAUAAGAGCCCACUCAGAUAGGAAAGCAGAAAGAGACAAGCCCCCCAAUGGAGUUCUUUCGACAGCAUCCUUGUAGGGAGCUUCACCCCAGGGACUUUCCGGUGCAGUUGAAAAAAGAUCAUCAAGCUCAGAAUUUCUGAGAACUCCAUCUUUAUCAGUGUCAAAUGUGCUGAAGACCCCUUUCAAGAACUCUACUGCUUCGCUGGUCAGUUCCAAACUCUGAUCGGGAGCUUUUUUGAAUGGUAUUGUGAGGUUAUCAUCCUUCAGCUUAAUUUCAUCAUUGUACCCAAAUUUCCUUAACACGGUCCAAGUGGUCUCAAGUCGACCCUUCUCUAUAAAAAGUGCAUGAAGAAAAAGAAACCCUGUCAAUGUAAGGCCCAGGUCAUUUACACCUUGAGGUAGCUUCUCCUGUACUACUCUUUUGACACCCACUAUCUCAGCGGGCUGCAGCGGAGCAUUGAAGCACUUAAUCUGAAAUUCAUUAAGCUCUUCAUCAUUGAGAGCGUCAUCCAUGUCAUGAUCACAAAGAAUAAAUAUCCGUUUCAGUGCUCUAACACAACGGGGUUUAAGAGCCUGAGUUUCAUGAUCAAAGAGUGGAGCCGUUGGAUGAAGUACAGCUUUCUGAGCAUAAUAAAACACUUCAGGUACCUGAACUAGGUUUGCAGCAGAACAUUCUAUGCAAGUCUCAAUCUCGCGGAAUUGUUGCAUGAUUGGAGCCAUCACUUGCUCAAGAUUCAUAUGAUGCUCCUCAUCUCGCUUAUCUAGCUUACAGCCAACAACAAUUACCGGCACCUUGAUCUCUAAGCGACGGAACUCAUAAAGCCAGAAAGUAGUCAAACGAUUGAGUGUAGAAGGCUGAUCGCAAGCAUAGGUAAGGACAACAGCAUCGGCUCGCUUCAAUUCUUCAGCAACCUUACCUCUGCUCUCCAAACUUGAGGAAGUAUCAAUGAUCGUAACAGGAACAUUAUCGGGAUAGAGAUCGGCAGGAAGUCGAGUCGGAGGAAGUACCGGUGGAACUUCCUCCGGAAAAGUUUCACUAGCGGCAGCUGUAAUGAGGCUUGAUUUGCCAGUAGCACGGUCGCCGACGACGACGACACGGACGUUAGUACGGCCACUGGAGAUUGAACCGCCGAGCAUUUGAAUGAGAUAUGGUAGAUUUGACACUGCAAAAUGGGAAUCAAAUCGAAUCGAAUCAAAUAAAAAUAUAUCAGUCACUUACUAUUUUGUUCCUCUGUGGAGGAGGAGUUUUCUG
rnacentral:misc_RNA from 1 species